AAAAAAACUGAACAGAUUUAAAAUUGCUCUCAAUUUCGCAAAACAGUUAUUUGUAUCCGGUUCUUUAUAUAUAUAGCCUCUUUGGGUACUUAUAAUGUAGAAUAAUGAGAAAAAUUUCUCGAACUCAAAUUUUGUGAACCAGGGGGGUUUGUAUUUUCCAAUAAACUAAAAAUGGCUCGCGCACAAAAUUUAAAAGCUGCAAUCAUAAUUUGAGUUAACAGAUGGAAAACUUGUCAGGAUUUUAAUUACUGUACAAAAUUUCAGACAAUUUGGUUUAGUUUAAGCCCCUUAACUAUUCACGCAAAGUUGCAAUUUUCCCGAAAAAUCAGCUAUUUGCAUGCUUAAUUA